rnacentral:snoRNA from 1 species
AUCAGGUUCAUAAGCGUGAUGAUCGGAUGCUCAUGCUCCAUGCAUGACAUGUGCCUCCUUUGAACCAUGUUACGACAUCGACAUGUUACCCAUCUGAUG